GGUGGGCAAACAGAGAUUCCCCUGUACCCUGCGGAGAUCAAGCGACCAAGGCCAGGGAGGACUCGGAGCUAGCGACGCACCCCACUGAGGGCAGAGCCCAGCAUCCCCAGAGCAGCAGGCCGUGGGUGGCCAGCUGCACUGACUCCCUUUGUCCUCUCUCACGGCCAACCCCAGCAUCCUCGCUGCUCUCUGACCCGGAGAAGGAUUCCACGGAAGACAACAAUUCCGACGAAAGGAGCCACCCUGCGCCUCUCUCGAGAAGCUUCCCUUCGGUGGACAUGGUGCAAACGACAAGGGAAGCAGAAGAAGAGGAGGACUCGGGAACGGGCUGCGCCACAGGACAGUGUGCCCACCACCCCGAGGCACCAGAGGCUCCUGGGGUGCUCCGACAAAGGGAGCCAGGAGGGCCCUGGGGCCCCACUUGCGGCUCCGAUUUGGGCCCGGAGGAGGAUUCGGCAUGAGCACACAAGGAAACACGCCUGCAGGGACGGCUCUCUUACGCCUGACCUCCGAAGGCCAAAGAGAAGACUUCAGGGCAGCCCACCCGAGGACGGCACUGGA